GAAUUGACGGGGGCCCGCACAAGCGGAGGAACAUGUGGUUUAAUUCGAUGAUACGCGAGGAACCUUACCCGGGCUUGAAUUGCAGAGGAAGGAUGUAGAGAUAAUGACGCCCUUCGGGGCCUCUGUGAAGGUGCUGCAUGGUUGUCGUCAGCUCGUGCCGUGAGGUGUCGGCUUAAGUGCCAUAACGAGCGCAACCCCUGUCUACGGUUGCCAUCAGGUAAUGCUGGGAACUCUGGAGAUACUGCCACCGCAAGGUGUGAGGAAGGUGGGGAUGACGUCAAAUCAGCACGGCCCUUACAUCCGGGGCGACACACGUGUUACAAUGGCCGGUACAGAGGGAUGGUGUAAUGCAAAUUGCAUCAAAUCUUAAAAGCCGGUCCCAGUUCGGACUGAGGUCUGCAACCCGACCUCACGAAGCUGGAUUCGCUAGUAAUCGCGCAUCAGCCAUGGCGCGGUGAAUACGUUCCCGGGCCUUGUACACACCGCCCGUCAAGCCAUGAAAGCCGGGGGUGCCUGAAGUCCGUGACCGCAAGGAUCGGCCUAGGGCAAAACUGGUGAUUGGGGCUAAGUCGUAACAAGGUAGCCGUACCGGAAGGUGCGGCUGGAACACCUCCUUUCUGGA
rnacentral:rRNA from 1 species